GACGAACGCUGGCGGCGUGCUUAACACAUGCAAGUCGAACGGAAAGGCCUCUUUCGGGGGGUACUCGAGUGGCGAACGGGUGAGUAACACGUGAGUAACCUGCCCUUGACUUUGGGAUAACUUCAGGAAACUGGGGCUAAUACCGGAUAGGAGCUCCUGCUGCAUGGUGGGGGUUGGAAAGUUUCGGCGGUUGGGGAUGGACUCGCGGCUUAUCAGCUUGUUGGUGGGGUAGUGGCUUACCAAGGCUUUGACGGGUAGCCGGCCUGAGAGGGUGACCGGCCACAGUGGGACUGAGAUACGGCACAGACUCCUACGGGAGGCAGCAGGGGGGAAUAUUGCACAAUGGGUGGAAGCCUGAUGCAGCAACGCCGUGUGCGGGAUGACGGCCUUCGGGUUGUAAACCGCUUUCGCUCAUGACGAAGCUUUGUGUGACGGUAGUGGGUAAAGAAGCACCGGCUAACUACGUG
rnacentral:rRNA from 1 species